rnacentral:rRNA from 1 species
UACGAAGGGGGCUAGCGUUGCUCGGAAUUACUGGGCGUAAAGGGCGCGUAGGCGGCACUGUUAGUCAGGCGUGAAAGUCCUGGGCUCAACCUGGGAACUGCGCUUGAUACGGCAGAGCUAGAGGAUGGAAGAGGGUCGCGGAAUUCCCAGUGUAGAGGUGAAAUUCGUAGAUAUUGGGAAGAACACCGGUGGCGAAGGCGGCGACCUGGUCCAUUACUGAUGCUGAGGCGCGACAGCGUGGGGAGCAAACAGG